GAUGAACGCUGGCGGCGUGCCUAAUACAUGCAAGUCGAGCGAACAGACGAGGAGCUUGCUCCUCUGACGUUAGCGGCGGACGUGUGAGUAACACGUGGAUAACCUACCUAUAAGACUGGGAUAACUUCGGGAAACCGGAGCUAAUACCGGAUAAUAUAUUGAACCUCAUGGUUCAAUAGUGAAAGACGGUUUUGCUUUCACUUAUAGAUUGAUCCGCGCCGCAUUAGCUAGUUGGUAAGGUAACUGCUUACCAAGGCAACGAUGCGUAGCCGACCUGAGAGGGUGAUCGGCCACACUGGAACUGAGACACGGUCCAGACUCCUACGGGAGGCAGCAGUAGGGAAUCUUCCGCAAUGGGAGAAAGCCUGACGGAGCAACGCCGCGUGAGUGAUGAAGGUCUUCGGAUCGUAAAACUCUGUUAAUAGGGAAGAACAAAUGUGUAAGUAACUAUGCACGUCUUGACGGUACCUAAUCAGAAAGCCACGGCUAACUACGUG
rnacentral:rRNA from 1 species